GGGAUAUCCCGCGGGCCGCUCGUGCGACGGUCAGGUCCGCGUCAGUCUCUCCCAGUGGCCUUCAAGGAUACGCUCUCUCAGAGAAGUCUCCAAGAUGAACAUCUCCUUGCAGGCCUUUUAGUCACGCGGCCGCACUUGCUGGAGGCUUGAUUUUUGCAGCCCUCGGUGGCCUUCGCUUCCGCUUGCCCUACUGCUCGCCCCACUUCACAUCCAGGCGUCGAGAUGCAGGCUCUGCUUCCCCUCACCCCUCCUGUAAAUUUGUCCUGUUCUCCCGGCCUUGUUUUCCACCUUCUUCUGUGCCCAUUACCUCUUGGUCUCAGAACCUUCCUUUCCUCUGGAGUCAAUGCUGGGUCGGUUCCCAAGGCAUCUUCACCUUUGUCGUGGCUUUGCCCUCCACAUAGACACAGCGGACACAGCGGACUCUCCCACCUAGAUCUCUCCUGCGCUCGGGUCCUGGCAUCCAACCAGCUGCUCCCCAUCUCCACUUAACGUACCGUCUCACCUGUCCUCCACAAACCAAUCCUUGCAGCCUCUGCCUUCUCAGAACAUUGCUUUAAACUCCUCGAAGUUUGGAGGAGGCCCAGAUCCUUGCAGAUAACCUGGCUUCCUUUCUCGGCCUCACCCCCAGUCUGUCCAUGGAGGCCUGUCCUCAAAUCUCACUCUACCCAUGAGCACAAGGCCCAUAUUUUUUCACCCAUAUUAUUUACCUCCUUGGUCUUGCCUGCAUGUGUGCUUCAGGCUUUACUCUCUAAAAUGAAAAUAGAUCCUGACCUAUGUGCGUGAGUUCCCAUUGUGAAUCUGCAGUCCCUACUUGGCCCAGCUGGUCCUGUCUAAUGGGCUCCCUGCCUUCGUUUCUCACCACUGACCCUUCAUUCUCCAUUCUGCAAGCAAAAGGUCAUUUUGUGGUUAUUGAAUAAUUCAUGUUCUGUCUUCCUGAAGCCACUCCCUGAAGAGCACUGCCAAAACUGAGGAUACCUAUGGUCAUGGUGGAGCCUGCCUGACCCACGUUGAACCAAGCAGUUGGGUGACUGCCAGGACAACUUACUGCAUUUCAGAGGUGAGUAGCCCAAAGAGAAUCCAGCUGAUCCCAGAGAAAGAUCCAGGAUUCUUGGGAUUUGAAGGACUAGAAUUUGUGAAAAUGUAAGAGUUUGUGCUCAGGCAAGCCAUCUGGCUAGACAGUGGUUAGUACCCAGCAACUCUGACUUUCCCUUGCUGUACAGGUACCCACUGUGCAUGUGCACAUUUUGAUUACCUCCAGUGUGGCUCCCCAAAAGCUCAGAAGUGUCCUCAAGGCACUUUGUCCUAAGGGAAGAUAGGGUAGCUGAGAUGGACUGCCACCUAGUGAUAGGCCCUCAAAGUGGGAGGAAAGGAACUAGAAUGUACCCAAUGACUGGCCCUGUGCUACAAGGCACGUGGUCACAGCUGAAUCUCAUUAUUAUCCUCUAAACAGGAAUUUUACUGAGGAUGAAAAUUUACUGAGGAUGAAACAGAGAUUCAGAGUUCUACGACUCACCCCAAGAACCACAUAACUAACAAAUGGAAAUUUGAACCCAAAUCUGACUUCAUCCAUUUCUGUCUCACAGCAGAGUCCUGGCUUAGGUGAGUCCUGGUGGUCAGUAGUCAGCAUGGAAGCUAGCUGGCUAAUAUGCAGGGGUGAAGGAAGGC
rnacentral:lncRNA from 1 species